AUGAGCAGGAGUGAGAGUGAGACACACAUCACACACACUACACCGGCCGGGAUCAUCGAAAUGGCGACCGCCAUCAGCAACGGCAGAGGCCCAUCGACGAACGACGAGCUCCAGUCCAUCCUCGCCGCGGCGCGGCCGUUCCUCCUGGGCGACCUCGCGGCCGUCGACCCCGACCUCCCCUCGCUCGUCUCCGUCCUCGUGUCCGCCGGCGCCGGCGAGUGCUACCACAAGCACGGCACCUUCCUCGCGCACCUGCUCGACGUCUACCGCAUCCUCCGCCUCUGGGGCGCGCCCGACGCCGUGGCCCGCUGCGGCCUCUUCCACUCCUCCUACUCCAACUCCUACGUCAACCUCGCCAUCUUCGAGCCCGACGUCAGCCGCGCCCGCGUCCGCGGCAUCGUCGGCGCCGCCGCCGAGCGGCUCGUGCACCUCUUCUGCGUCGUCCCGCGCCACGCGCUCAUGCACGACGACCUCCACCUCCGCUACACCGACGCCGAGCUCCGGGACCACCUCGCCGCCGCCGAGGCGUCCCUCCAGGCCGCGCGCUCCGGCGGGGGCAGGCCGGAGGACAAGGCGGAGCCGUGGCGCGCGAAGCUGCGGUCCGUGGUGCCGGAGGAGGGCGUGGUGGUGCCGCACAUCCGGACGGGGGAGCCGGUGGCGCUGUCGCGGCGCGUGCUGGCGGUGUUCGUGCUGAUGACCGUCGCCGACUUCAGCGACCAGUACACGGACUACCAGGACAAGCUGUUCCGCAACGACGACGGCCGCCUCGAGUUCGCCGGCGACAACUGGGCCGCGCUCUGGCCGGGGACCGGAAAGCCCGGGCUGUGGAUGAGCGCCAUGUCCAGGCUCGCCGCGCUGUACCGCCUCAUCGCCACCGACGAGCAGCUCCGCCACAUGGAACAAGAGGGGUCGACGAAGACGGCGGCAGGGGACGAACAGGACGAGGGGCUGGAGCUCUGCAUCCCGCCCGUGUUCGACCGGUGCAGCAAGGUGCUGGACCCCGGCGAGCAGAUCGCGGCGAGGGACCUGUACUGGGAGGCGAUCUGCAGCGACGGCAAGGAGGGCGUGGAGUCGCUGCUGCGGCGCUGCAUCGUGAAGAACCCGUACGUGGGGGAGCCGUGGCUGGUGCUGGCUCAGGUGCUGCUGAACGAAGGAGGGAGGUGGGAGGAGGCGGAGGCGGCGGCGGCGGAGGGGCUGAGGCUGGUGCUGGAGUGGGGCAGCAGCUGGGACAAGAGGAUGUCGUGGGAGGGGUGGGUGUCGUGGGGGAGGGUGAUGAGGGACAAGGCCAAGGAGAAACAAUGGCCGCGCUCUGCCUGGGGCAUCAUCAACCUCGGACUCGUCGAGCAGAUCAACGACCACAACUAG
rnacentral:rRNA from 1 species